AGCCCAGACUCCUACGGGAGGCAGCAGUGGGGAAUAUUGCACAAUGGGGGAAACCCUGAUGCAGCGACGCCGCGUGAGUGAGGAAGUAUUUCGGUAUGUAAAGCUCUAUCAGCAGGGAAGAAAAUGACGGUACCUGACCAAGAAGCCCCGGCUAACUACGUGCCAGCAGCCGCGGUAAUACGUAGGGGGCAAGCGUUAUCCGGAUUUACUGGGUGUAAAGGGAGCGUAGACGGCGAAGCAAGUCUGAAGUGAAAGCCCAGGGCUCAACCCUGGGACUGCUUUGGAAACUGUUUUGCUAGAGUGUCGGAGAGGUAAGUGGAAUUCCUAGUGUAGCGGUGAAAUGCGUAGAUAUUAGGAGGAACACCAGUGGCGAAGGCGGCUUACUGGACGAUAACUGACGUUGAGGCUCGAAAGCGUGGGGAGCAAACAGGAUUAGAUACCCCCGUA
rnacentral:rRNA from 1 species